ACAUUUAAUGUUCCAUGCAUGUGUCCAAAGAUUCGAUAGGAUGGAUGAAAAUUUUUUAGGUAAGUAACUAAACAGGGCCCGAGACUUUGGGCCUUGUUUAGUUCCCACCGAAAUCCAAAAAGUUUUCAAGAUUCUCCGUCACAUCGAAUCUUGCGGCACAUGCAUGAAGCACUAAAUAUAGAUGAAAACAAAAACUAAUUACACAGUUUGCCUGUAAAUCACGAGAUGAAUCUUUUGAGCCUAGUUUGUCUGUGAUUGGAUAAUAUUUGUCAAAUAAAAACAAAAAUACUACGGUACCGAAAUCUGAAAUCUUUUCGGAACUAAACAAGUCCUUCACGACGCAUGCAACAUACAGUAGGACGGCUUGGCACAACAGCACACGUGUGCUGCAGCGAAGUUGACAUAUAUGAUGCUUUUGACAUAUAUGAUGCUUUUGACAUAUAUGACGCCUUGUUUAGUUUUCCAAAAAUUUUGCAAAAUUUUUCAGAUUCCCCAUCACAUCGAAUCUUUAGACGUAUGCAUAGAGUAUUAAAUAUAGAUAAAAAUAAAAACUAAUUCUACAGUUUAGUCGGAAUUGACGAGACGAAUUUUUUAAGCCUAGUUAGUCUAUGAUUGAAUAAUAUUUGUAAAAUACAAACGAAAUUGCUACAGUGCUCAUUUUGCCAAAAAAUUUUGGAACUAAACAAGGCCGUCGACAUGACAUGGUGGUAUCAUGGAACAGAGAUGCAUACAGUGCAGACCCUCGUACUGUACAUAGGAGUACUGUAGUGGAGUGCAACGUAGAGUACUGUAGUACUUUGUGCAUAUGGACUUCUUUACUUCUAAAAAAUUUUGCAAAAUAAAAAUAGUAGCACUUUCGUUUGUAUUUGACAAAUAUUAUCCAAUUAUAGACUAACUAGGCUCAAAAGAUUCGUCUCGUCAAUUCCGAUCAAACUGUGUAAUUAGUUUUAAUUUUCAUAAUACUCUAUGCAUACGUCUAAAGAUUCGGCGUGACGGAGAAUCUGAAAAAUUUUACAAAAUUUUUCAGGAACUAAGGGGGUGUUUGGGACUGCUCUGCUACACGUUUUUCAGCUCCGCUCCACGUUUUUUAGGUAAACGGUUUGAGCUCCACGCACUCAGUUCGAGAAAAAAAGGUGGAGUUGUGAGAGCACUUUUUUAUGGAGCUGCUCUAUGGUGAAGUUUGUGGUUUGUGGAGCAGAGUUUUUUUGAACACCCGCUAAACAAGGCCAUAGAGUAGUACGUACCAGAAACAGUUGUAGAUGGUGAGGUGGUCCUCCGCGUGUCCACAAACAGUAUAGAUCCGCUCCAGCGAAUCCACGCCAGGGGAUGAAGAGCGGUGGGGACCACCUCAUCCUGGCGCCCUGCGCGCCAGCGUCAGCCAGCGCCUACACGAUGGAGGACCUCUACAAAACAACGAGAAUAUUCGUUUAAGUAUAUCUAUCAAAUUUGUUAACACUAAAUUAAUAAAUAAAAAUAAAUUCUAUUUUGAUGUGGUGUGAAAAUGUCGAACACCGGAUUAAUAAAUGAAAACAGAUUUACUUUAGGAAAUAAUAAUGAUGAUAAUAAUUAGAAAAACUGCUUCAACAUCCGGUACAUGACGUGGGGAGCAGUACAACCGUCUACACGCACGUGCCAAUUUAGUACAGUGUUUUUUUUCCUACUGUAACAGAACGGCUUCAGGAUCGGACGCGUGUCUUGACGCUGGUCAAUUGGCCAUGAUGUGCAUGAGAUGGAGAUGGAGAUGGAGAUGGAGAUGGAGACGGAGACGGGAGUGGAGUGGCCCCGCUCUGCCUCGUUUUGCCUUUGGGCCCGGGCCGGGCACCUGCGGAUAUGGGAUGGGCCGUGAGAGGAGAGUAGUUCGCGAGAUGGCACUUUGCAAGAAGGGUUGCUACUGAUAGUGCAUCAGGACUGGUAAUUGAGUAAUGGCUUGAUUUGCUCGCCAAAAAAAAAAAGGAAACAUGGCAUGACUGAUGACUUCAUAGUAGGAGUAUGGGCGGCUACCAAUUAUUGUUCAACUAUAAACUAACUAUGCUCAAAAUAUUCGCAUCGCAAAUUAUAGAUAAAUUGUGCAAUUAGUUAUUUUUUUAUUUAUAUUUAAUGCUCUAGACAUGUGUCGCAAGAUUUGUAUGAUAGAAAAUCUUGAAAAGCUUUUAGAUUUUGGUUGCAACUAAACAACGCCUCACUGUUGUUGACUUGACGAACUGUUAUUUCGAUGACACAUUUGGGCCGACAUGUGUAUAUGGGCCUGGCCGUACAUGGGCUUUGCCUGGCCAGUGUACGCUAUGGAUCUCCACAACUUCAGUCCUCACUCACUCAGGUCACACCACACAAGCAAACAAGCAGUGGCCAGUGUACGCACAAUACAUACUUACAUAGACAGGCACAAAUCGCACCGUAAGACCCAACUCUAAAUCCUUUUUGUCUCCAAUGCUGAGUUGUUUGUUUAAUUACUAGUUGGAUAUUAGUUACUUUGAUUGGUUAUUUUUUGGAGCAUGGUGGAAUGGUGUGUAUAAUAUAAAUGCAUCCAAAAGCAAAGGGAAACUAGAGGUCAAGAGGUAUAUGUUGCAAUUAGCAAAGAUUGAUAUAAAUUGACAUUUGUGCUAUUAUAUACCUGUUGUGCUCUUGAGCCAUUUUAAUUUUAUUUUACUUUCUUUGUUAUCGACUUCGUCGUACCUCAAAUUACUUCCAUCCUUCAUCACCUCCUCGAAUAGUUUGCUAAACCCACUUGCUAUCCUUCAAUUUUUUUAGCUAAACUAAAGAAACCACCUUUCCAACAGUUUAGCAAAUGACUUGCUAAAAUUUGGCAACUUGUCAUUUCCUACCUCCACCGGCGCAUAUAUGUGCGUCGGUCUCAACUUGCCAUCUGGUUUGCCAUCCCGUAAAAGCUAGACCAGCACGCACAAGUGACGUGCUCCCUGCAUGCGGUCCAUACAACUUCACUCGUACAUGCAUGAUCUUGCAGUACAUGCAUUAUCUCAAAUGGCAAACUAUUGAAGAUACAAUUUUUUUUACUUGCCAUAUUGUUUUAGCCACUUGCCAAAUCAUAAGAUUUGCCAAGUAAUUUUUGACAAAUUGUUGGAGAUGCUCGAACUAUAUACCUUUAGGCUUUGUUUAGUUCUCCAAAAAUUUUACAAAAUUUUUCAGAUUCCCCGUCACAUCGAAUCUUUAGACGUAUGCAUGAAGUAUUAAAUAUAGAUGAAAAUAAAAACUAAUUGCACAGUUUGGUCGGAAUUGACGAGACGAAUCUUUUGAGCCUAGUUAGUCUAUAAUUGGACAAUAUUUGUCAAAUACAAACGAAAAUGCUACUAUUUCUAUUUUGCAAAAUUUUUUGGAAGUAAACAAGGCCUUAUAGUUUUUAUGUAUCUACAUGUGAUGUAUAUCUAAUAUCUAGAUAGGUACUCUCUCUAUCCCAAAUUGUAAGUCAUUCCAAGAAUCUUGAAGAGUCAAAGCAUUUUCACGUUUGACCAAAAUUAUAGAGAAAAUACUAAGAUUUGUAACGUAAAGUGAGUAAACUAUAAAAAUAUAAUUAAGAAAGAAUCUAAUGAUACUUAGUUAGUACUCCCUCCGUCCCCGAAAGAAUCAAUUCAUAGAAUCCGUGCCAGUCAAACUUUUUAAAGUUUGACUAACUUUAUAGAAAAGAGUAACAACAUCUAUAAUAUAAAAUACACAUUAUAUGAAAAUAUAUUCUAUGAUGAAUCUAAUAAUACUAAUUUGAUACUAUAAAUCUUAGCAUUUUUUUCUAGAAAUUUGGUCAAAGUUUAAAAAGUUUGACUUAGGACAACUCUAGAAAUUGACUCUUUUGUGGACGGAGGGAGUAUCAUAAUAAUAAUUAUUUUAUUAUAUAAAUUUGGUCAAACUUAGAAAAAUUUGAAUCUCCAAGAUUCUUGGAAUAACUUAAAUGGAUGGAUGGAGUAUACAGUAAAAUAUAACCGAGGGGAGAGCCGAGAGCAUCGGCCAACUGUGCACCGGCCGGCACCCCCAAGAAAAAAAGGGUGUGCGCUGGCAGAUCGGCACAGGACCGGGUCGUCCUGCACCGCGGAGGCUGCGAAAGAGAACACAACGCCGCGCAGCCGGCAGGCCGGCCGUCGCCGCGUGGCUCGUUGGUACGCCCGCGAGCCGCGAGCCGCGACCCCGCGUACACCAUGUUCCGGCCUAAUCCGGCGACGUUACUCACGAUGCGAUGCGAGGCCGAACCUGGGGACAGCUGCAGCCUCUGCAGCUGGGGCCUGUCCUUAUUUAAACCCUGACGCCACCACCUUGUGCUGCUCAAGGAGUAGGGAAUACUGAAUAGUCAGUCAGUCGUCUGUCGUCUCUACCUCAUCCACCUGACGAUUCUUGAUUCUUGAGGUGAGCUUGCCAAUUCUCUCGUCUCCCUCUUCCCAUCCGGAGGAUUUUGUUGUGCUUUCGACCUCCUCCUCCCUUAUUCGAUGCUUCUUGCUCCUCCUGCAGCUGUAACCAUAGAUCUGUGGGGGGUUUUUUUUUUUGGGGGCGGUUCUGAUUCAGAUUUAGUUUCCUGCCCAUGGUUUCUUCCCUCCCUCACCAGCAAGAGGCUGUCACUCCAAUAGAACUUAUGUACAACCUGUUCGUUGCCUCCUCCCAGUGCCUGGCCAAAGACUGGUUGGUUUCCCAACUCAUGUUUUAUUAGAUGCUAUUAGUUCAUUGCUAAGCACGUGCCCAGUUCUUUUGUUGGGCAUCAAUGGAGUAACCACAGCAUUGCUUCUCUGGCCAAUUGAAAAUGUUAGUUUCAUUCAUUGUCAGAGUGCAAUAGAAGCGGAGAAAGAGUAUCUGUGAUUAUAAAUAACAACUGUAAGUUUCAGGACAAUUCUAUUGAUUUUGUGCUACCGAGCAGGCUUGGAACUGGAUGCAUUUAGUUUUCCAGAUCUGGGAAUUUGGUCGUUUUGGCCUACUAUGCACCGUAUUUUCCUUCGGCUGCCUUGGGACUCCAAGAAAUUUAACUGAUGAUGGCCCAGAAUUUCAGCAACACACCACAUAUUUUGCCUUUGAAGAUUUGUUGAUAUAGUAUGUCAAUUAGUAUACUGAGAAGAAACUAACCAAAGUCCUGUUUUGUUAUGCUCCAGGUUGAUUUGGUGUCAUUCUCUUUUAGCUGCAACUGCAGCAGGCUGUGAUCAUGGCAUCGCUGAGUGCCGACCUUUUCUAUGACAUACUCAAGCGUCUCGAUGCUGCAGCUCUGGCAAGAGCAGGCUGUGCCUGCGCUGAUUUUCGUGCCAUAUCAAAUGAAGAGGAUUUGUGGGAAAAUGCUUGCACAUCUCUGUGGCCAUCAACAAGACAAGAUGAUGUUAGGAGCUUAAUUGUUUCUGUUGGUGGAUUCAGGAAGUUCUAUGCAGAUUGUUUCACCCUUAUAUUGAACAAGGAUGUCCCUGUGGUUCAGACUAAUGAAAGUAAUUUCUUUGCUGAAGAAUGGGCCGAGUCUGACUACUACUACUAUGAUGACAUGGAUGAGCUUGAAACCUCAUUGCCUUCAGAUUUCGUAUCUUUGAUUGAUGUAUGGUACAAAGACCGUGCACUCUACUCAAAGGUCAUAUGGGGAAUUCCCAACUCAGACAGUGCCAAUGGAUGGUUCUAUAACUACCCAUUCCGGAUAGACUUGUUUCAACACUCAGCUGAAAACAAUGAGAACAAUAAUGGAGAGGUAUUCCUAUCCACCAUCAAUGACUUACCAUCAGUGCCCUCGAUAGAGCAAGAAAGGAAAGACGGGAAACUAUGGAGGGAACUGAAUGAUGGCAUAAAGUUGAGCUGGAUCAUUGUCAACCGGAAGAUGAAACGGGCAGUGAACCUAACGAGUUGGCACCCGCUGAGUGGGCAGAGGCACUGGCCAACCGAUACUGAUUUUGUUCUACGGUUCGGGUCUGUCCUUCCGGCAAAGGAGGUCCUGCCCUGCCAGGUAGCAGAAUGCAUUCUGCUGAUGAAAUUCCAUGUGACGAGCAUGGGCAGCGAGGAGGCUGGGGAACCUUCAACACUUGCGCUAACGGAACUGAGUAUGCAGAUCGAAGACAUGGGCGGUGUUCAUCUCAACGGGCGCUGCAGCCUCCUCCUUCUCAAGGAGGCGCUGAGCUGCCACCGGAGCAGGAACUAUGAUGAGGUGCUGGAGUCUUGCAAUUUGUAUCUGAAGGCACAGAGUGAGCUGAAAGAAGAGAAGAUACGCAGUGAGUGCCGGUUCGACACACUCUGUAUUUUCAGUGGCAUUACAAUAUUUGCUGCUAUCUGCACCAUGUGCUAUAGAAAAUUUUAGAAGUUUUGACUUUCUAGAUAAGGCUAGCUGCAGAUUUAAUAAAUGUUGUAGUGAUGCACAUGUUUGAGAGCUUGUAAACACAGCCUACUUAUUAUUGCUGGUUAUUAGUUCUCCUUAGAUAUUUCAUGGGGAAAAUAAUCUAAUGUCCUCAUAUAUGAAAGUGGAAAAUAUAAAAGUCUGCUACAAAAUUCAGUUAUUUCUACUAGUAGAGUCUAGUCACAAUUGGUUCAGAAACUACAAUAGAUCAUAGUGACUGUAGCUCAUCGAUCAUCUUCCUACUCCGUUUCAAAUUAUAAGAGGUUUUGGUUUUUUUAGAUUCAUGGUUUCUGUUAUGUACUUAAAUAUACAUUAUAUCUAGAUGCAUAGUAAAAGCAGUGUAUCUAGAAAAGUCAAAAUGUUUUAUAAUUAGAAACAGAGGGAGUACUUGAUAAUCCACACCACCAAGAUGACUAGGGUGUCAAAUCCCUAGCGACCGGACUGACCUGACUUGUCGACCAUCUUCCUACUUGAUAAUCCUAUCAUAUAGUCCCAUGAUCACUGCUGGACUGCUCAGCGGUAAGCCAGUAAAGAUGAUUAAACCAGUAGAACACUGCCAGAACAAUAGAAGCUGAAGUCUUAUAACAAAAAAUAUGUUCCAUACACCUUGGUGCCAAUGCAUCAUUACUUACAAAAAUCUCACUAGUAAUGCCAUUUGCACCAAUUUGAUUUUUAAGAAAAUAAAAAAGAAACACGUGAGAGGUCAACAACAUCCAGAACGACCUCAGAAUAAUGGAGGGGCUAGGGAAUAAUAAUAUGGCUCAUUGACCUAUAUAACGCGCCCAAACCAUGUGCAGAUAAAGGGUAGCCUAUACAAGUCACGGAUAAAGCUGCUGGUGAUCAUCAGUGGAACGAAAAUGAUGAGAAUGCUGGACAGCGUGGACUCUCCUGUGGAGAGGAAAAAAGGAAUGUGUGACUCUGUGCAACGGAAGGGCUUUAUUCAUAGCCAGCAGUGUUUCAGAAAAGAUCGGCUUUCUUUUUCUGCAACUCUUGCUUCCAUCUUGGCUGACCGUAGAAUUCCUCUCUGGUCAUACCAAACACGGUCUCAAAUUCACUGUCCACCAAAUAUGUCUGCAGAAGAAAAGUGAACUUAGCCUUUGGAAUCCAUAAACAUGAGGUGCAGAAGAGGCUGCCAUACAAUAAAUUGUAAUAGAUAUUCCAAUGAGAAAACGAUUAAAAAACGUCAUCAAUUUAGUUGCAUUUGUAAUAAACCUAUAUUAAUCAUAAUACUUCAAUUAGAAAAAUGGUCACUAUUCCUGCUUCUGUUGCAGAUAACUGCUGGUUGCGGCACUAGGCCUACAAAUUACUAAGAGCAUCGUUAUCUUUGUGAGCAUUGUUAAAUCAUAAAUAUGUAUGAAACUGAAAGCAUAGAAGGAUACAUUUUCUGGAGUUCUAAAAAGAUGGGCUUGGCUGUGAUACUGAUAAGAUCUUUACCAUUUCAUUUGUUCUCCUUUUCUAUGUCAGUUUGUUUAUUUUCCAAAUAACCUUUUACAGUUUAAACCUCAUGUUCUUCAUGACUAACAGUAAUUGCAGCACAACGCCGACAAUCCUGACUGGUAUUUUCUAAAUUGGAAGUCUGAGAUAUUAGUAACUAGAAGUUACCUCCGAAAUAGGACGAAGCAAAGUUAUAAUAAAUUCCCAAAACUUACCUAUUUACUGUUUAUGGUGAAUAAGCUUGCCUACAAAUGUUUACAAGAAAAAAUGUUCUAUCUAGCAUGUUUUAUGGGGAGAGGAAAAUCAAUCCAGUAAAUAUAAUUUUUCAAGUAAAUGCUAAGUGCCUGAGCUUUAGUUGAGGCGAACUUAGGUGCCUAUUUUCUUCCUAAUAUAAAUAAAUCCACCAGUCCUCCUAAAUUGGUGUAAAAUGCGCACAAAGUUUCAUGUAUAGUUACAACAAAUACUCAGCCCUUUCACAAGGAAAUGAGGUAAUAGAAGAGGGAGAACUUUUUUCAAGGAUGCAGUGGGAAUCACAAACCUCUCUGCGCUUGUAGUCUAUCCCACUAACAGGGUCAGUGGACUUUGAUAUCAAGCGUUCAUAGCUAAAGGUCGUCUGGCCUCCAUUUUCGUUAGCAGUUUGUUCCUGUGAGACAUCAGGCUCUGUUCUGACUUCUUCAGACCCUGUUUCUAACUGAUGAGGAGAAGCUGGAGCUAAUUCAGUCUUCUCAGCAUCUGCAUCAAGUGAAGGUAUCAUCAACCUUUAAUAUCAAGCUAAGGUGUAAAAAAACAAUCACAGAACUCUCCUGGGUUCAUCUUUAUCUACUUUCUUGCAGUUACUAAGCGAAUCCUAUUCAUUAUUGACAAGUAAAACUCCAGUAAACACAGUUAACGAACUUAAACACAUCCCAGAUCCAUUUUACUCUUCCAGAGCAAAACCAAAAGGACGCAAUUUGACUAUUUCUACAAAAACAAAGUGACGCAACAUGCCGGUGCUAAAAAUAUCCAAUAUUAUUUUCCAGAAUUACUACCAUCACAGGAACAAUAUCAGUGGGAUCUUGAGGCAUGCUUCUAGUUUUGUUAUCUUCCUAAAGAAAAGGUGAAACUUCAAAUCAAAUUUAGGUUGGCAACUCUAACCUGCUGUUGGAGACGACCUACGACUGUGGCGAGGGCUGUGAGAUCCCUCUGCAGUCAAAACAUUGGACAGUGCUGCAACAGCAGCGGCUCUUUGAGACCCUUGGGGUUUUGACGAUGUAUUAAGGGAAGAGGACAAGGCAGCCAUUGCUGAAGCACGUUGAGUAUGCUCGCUGUCACCUGAUGAGCUUGUGGGCCUCUCGUCUGACUGAAAACCCACAGGACUUGGUGGUUAGCAGAUAAGAAAAAUCGGGAAGGAUGGAGGGAAGGAAAUUAUUAGCAGUACCUGUUUUCCUUGCGACGAUGUAUUCAAUGCAGAUGAAAGAGCUGCCAAGGCUGAUGCCCUUUGAGUUGGCCCACCAUCACCUGAUGCGCCCUUAUUUCCACCCUGGAAGCAGUUAAAAAGGCAUGAAGCAGAAAAAAGGAAAAAUAACACGUAUCACUCAUUGAAUAGCAAAAGUGAACUUACCUCUGAACGCAUUCCAAAAAGAACUGAAAGUUUCUUCUCAAAAGAGUUUCCAUGAAUCUGUUUCAAGAGUGACACAUAUCAGCUUAACCGCAAGCAAAGAAAAAAGGUAUGCCGAAUAUUGGACAUAUGAAAAAAGUCCAUUAAGUGAAAAAAGGUAAACCUUCAAAAUAUCAGCUAAUCCCAUACAAAUAGAUAAUAAAUGGAACAUAGUUAGAACGAAAAGCUGAACUUGUGAAAUACAGAAGUAAACAUCUAAGAGCAUACCACGGAUCGUGUGUUAUCCCAGGAGAAGUAUGUCCUGAAGAAGCAAGGUUCAUUCCCUUCAUUGACUUUAUAGAGAGGCACAUCAGGAGAAAUACCUUCAAAGGCCACAGCAUGUUGUACGUAUUUCUGGGAGGGAAGCAAUCGUUUAUAGGAGUUGGACGAUAGUGAUCCAACCAAAAACAGAAAGGUUAACACUUAAACUUGGUACCUACCUGACCAAUGUCAAAUGCUUUCUGUUUUUCUUUUGUCUCCACACACUGACCCAUCCAAACAAAAACCUCACCGUGUGUAUCAAGUAUCAUCGUAUCUUCAGUCAACAAAUCAUCUUGUGAAAAAUUGAAAACUUCAGUAACCUGUGUACAAGUGAGCUUUCAGAAUUUUUUGAAAAAACAAGAUUAUUGGAACAUGACCAAUUUGGAUCAAAUCAAUACAGCAACACACCUCCAGCUUCCCUGACAAAUGGUGAUGAUGUUAUCGUGAUUGAAGCAAAAAAAAUGAUAAUUAAACGUUAGGGUCACUAUAAAGCAUAGAAAACAGAUUGAGAAACACUGUGAAUAGAAGGUUUGACUACUACUAACCAUUCCUAAGAGAGAAGGUAUACAAAUGAGGCUCUCUAAUAACAGCAUCAGGUGCAGCACUUUUACUUGUAUAACUCUGCUUUCCACCAAUAGAAGACCAGAAAAUAGAGCUCUCAGUGCCCUCCUUGCAAUGUUUGACAGCAACACCGGUCUGUAGGAUUAGGGGUACAGAUAAUUUAAGUGAGUAAUAGUGGCCACGGUAAGACAUGUCAAUUACUUGCAAUUUUAUCAGAAUCAAGUGCUGCUGGGGGAGGAGGAUUCAGCAAUCAGCGUAGUUCUGUCCAACCUCGUUGGAUCAUUAAUAAACCUUAAAUUAGACAGCAGUGAGAAAACACCAGUAUUUGUGCAUACAAUUAUUACCUUCCAGCAUGAUGAAUUUUUAUCAUAAAGAUCAUUCUGUUAGCAGCUUUCAACAAAAUCGUCUUUCAGAAUUGUUUUGCUCAAAACAGGUUUUCCAUAAGCUUUACAUAACACUCUAAUAGAUAAGCAGCACGAAACUGCAAAUAAACUUGAAAAAUAUGACGAGGUACUACCUCCAGCCCAAAAUUAAGGCAUUCAAACUUCAAAAAUGUUUUCAUUAUACAUUAAUCAUUUUGAUUGUCACAUGCAAUCAAGGUUCUAAAUAGCCCACUAUAGAUUUUCUAGGGUCUAUCACUACGAUAUUGUUAAUUGUUCCGCUAUCACUGCUAAAGAUGCUCUAGGUCUACUAUGUAAGACAUAAUCUGCAGCUAAACCUUUCUUGUUCUGUUAAUGAUCAUAGGCAGGCAAUAGGCUAGCCCUUGAUCACAUAGGAGUAUGGCAAUAGGCCACUCUAGUACAGUAGUUGGUAGAACCAUACAUCAGCCAUACUUGGUAGGAGGAUGAUGUAUGCAGUGUACUAGGAGUAGAUGGGGCUGUACCCAGCCAUGCCUUGUGUACCUUAUAGUUGGUACAAGGCUUGUAUAUAUAUACCAUGUAUGCAAUGAAGCAAAGGCAGUUCAAGUGCCACUUAUUUCCUGGGUUCAGGUUUCAGCCAAGACUGAAACCGUGUGUGUGAGUGUGUGCCUGAGCUCGGCUCAUCUUCUACCUUGGGUUAGGGGAGAGGAAGAGGGAAGGUGAGCAGGGUCUGCUUACCUGGUGCCUGUGUGCAGGUGCUAACAAUUGGUAUCAAAGCCGUACAAGCCGUGUGCUAGGUCCAUCGACCGGCGAUGGCGGACGGUGCGGCUCGGAACGGUGGAGGGGAGGGCUCAGAGCGUCAGCUCCAGCCGGCGCCACCGCAGGUGGAGGUGCGCGUGGUGAAGGAGUUCGGCGGCAGCAGCUCCUGGCCCAUGCUCACCCGCACCAACUACGGUGAGUGGGCGACACAGAUGAAGUGGAAGCUGCGCGCGCGGAAGUGGUGGCGGGCGAUUGAGGAAGAUGAUCGCACCGAGGACGCCCAGGUGGGAGUCAUGGAGGCGCUCAUGGCCUCGACGCCGGCGGAGUACCACGAGGCGCUGGGCGCCAAGGACACCGCGAAGCAGGCCUGGGAGAUGCUGGAGUCGCUGCGUGUCGGCUCGGACCGAGCCAAGCGGGCCAGGAUCCAGCAGCUCCGCAGGGAGCUCAACGACAUCAAGUUCAAGCCCGGAGAGUCGGUGGAAGAGUACACUCUCCGUCUUCAAUCUCUGGCCACGCAACUGGCCACCUACGGGAAGAAGGUGGACGACGAGGACCUCGUCACCAAGCUGCUGUGCACCGUCCCGGCCAAGUAUUCGCAGCUUGCCAUGUCCAUCGAGACGAUGUUGGACAUCUCCACAUUGUCUCUGGAGGACGUGGCUGGGCGGCUGCGAGUUGCAGAGAGCCGCAUCACGCCGGCACCGGAGAAGGAGAAGGCCAAGUUACUACUGACGGAAGAGGAGUGGACCGCGCGCAUGAAGGACAAGCGCCGGACCAGGGAAGGCUCCUCCAGCCGCGGCGGUGAUGGCGCCAAGGGGCGCGGGAAGCCGCCGGCGGACAAGAAGAAGAAGAAGAAGAACACCGACCCCAACGCCUGCAGGCGUUGCGGGAAGGUGGGGCACCGGGCACGAGAAUGCCCGGAGAAGAAGCCGGAGAAGAAGGAAGAGGCCCACCUAGCUCGGGACGACAGCGACGACGAGUGCGCUCUGUUGAUGGGGGAGUAUUGCGCGCUGCAGGAAGGCGAAGCAGGGAAGGCGGAGGCGGAGCAGGGGACUGCGCCGCAGGCCGUCGAGCUUGACGAGUCUCGCGCGCGCGUCCUCCUUGGAGCGGACGGUGAGGAGCUGGAGCAGAGAUGGUACCUCGACUCAGGUGCGAGCAACCACAUGACAGGGAGCCGCACCGCCUUCUCCAACCUCGACGAGUCAGCCACCGGAAGCGUGAAGUUCGGGGAUGGCUCAAAGGUGCAGAUUCGCGGCCGCGGCACCGUCCUCUUCCGGUGCCGGAACGGCGAGCACCGUGCCUUGACGGAUGUCUACUUCAUCCCUCAGCUGCGCACCAGCAUCGUCAGCCUGGGACAGUUGGACGAACGCGGCAGCGAGGUCCUGAUUCGCGACGGGGUGUUGCGGAUCAGGGACAGGGAGCGGCGUCUUCUCGCCAAGGUAUCGCGCUCCCGUAACCGACUCUAUCUUCUGGAUUUGAAGGUAGAGCAGCCCGUGUGUUUGGCGGCGUCGUGCAAGGAGGAGCCCUGGCUGUGGCAUGGCCGGUUCGGCCACCUCAGUUUCGACGCGCUGGGCCGUCUCGGGAAGAUGGUGACAGGGCUGCCGGCGAUCCAGCAUGUCAGCGAGCUGUGCGACAGUUGCCUGGCAGGGAAGCAGAGGAGGCGGCCGUUCCCGAAGACCGCCAGGUACCGCGCGGCGGAUCCGCUUGAGCUGGUCCAUGGGGACCUUUGCGGGCCGAUCACGCCGGCGACGCACGGCGGGAGGAGGUACUUCCUCUUGCUCGUGGAUGACUGCAGCCGGUACAUGUGGCUGCAGCUCCUGACGAGCAAGAGCGACGCGGCGGAGGCGAUCAAGCACUUCAAGGCACGCACGGAGAUGGAGUCCGGGAAGAAGCUGAAGGUGCUUCGGACUGACCGCGGCGGCGAGUUCACGGCGGCUGAAUUCACCACGUACUGCGCCGAGGAAGGAGUAGGGCGUCAUCUCACAGCCCCCUACUCACCGCAGCAGAACGGUGUGGUAGAGCGCCGGAACCAGACCAUCAUCGGCAUGGCGCGAUCUAUGCUGAAGGCGAAGGACAUGCCGGCUGAGUUCUGGGGAGAAGCCGUGAGCACAGCAGUGUUCAUCCUGAACCGUUGCCCCACCAAGGCGUUGAAGGGGCAGACUCCAUUCGAGGCUUGGCACGGACGCAAGCCGAACGUCGCGUUCCUACGCACGUUUGGUUGUGUCGGCCAUGUGAAGACCACCAAGCCAGGCCUUACAAAGCUGGAAGACAGGAGCACCAAGGCGGUGUUCCUCGGCUACGAGGAGGGAUCAAAGGCCUAUCGGCUCUACGAUCCGGUCGGCGGAAAGGUGCUGGUAUCUCGAGAUGUGGUGUUCGACGAGGCGGCGGCAUGGAAAUGGGACCAGGCGGAGGAGCAGGGAGGUGGUGGGCUUGGCGACACUUUUGUCGUGGAACAAAUGACGAUCCACGGCAGGGAAGAAGGGUCAGGAGGGCCAGCAACCGGGGAAGCCGGUGCCACUGCAGCUCCAGAGGUGGAGGAGCCACCAAGUCCAGCGACAGCUGGAACGCCAGUCCACUCCCCGGCGGCUGGGGUGGGAUCCCCUGCCUCGCCAGGGCCGGCAACGCCAGCGGCCGGAGACGUCGAAUUCGCCACACCACCAAGUGACUACACCGAGUUCGUGGAUGCUUACCACGACGGCGAGGAGAUCCGUUUUCGCCGAAUCGAGGGCAUCAUCGGGGAAGCAGAGGUGCCUGGGGUCGCAGCACGGCUGCUCGACGACGACCCUGAGCUUCUGCUGAUGAGCGCAGAAGAACCCUCAUCCUUUGCCGUGGCGGAACGCGACGCAAAUUGGCGGCGUGCCAUGCUGGAGGAGCUGCGGUCCAUCGAAGACAACCACACCUGGGAGCUGGUUGAUCCGCCGGCGGGAUGCCGGCCGAUUGGCCUCAAGUGGGUGUACAAGGUCAAGAAGGACGAAUACGGCGCGAUCGUCAAGCACAAGGCGCGGCUGGUGGCCCGUGGCUUUGUGCAGCGCGAAGGCAUCGACUUCGAGGAGGUGUUUGCGCCGGUGGCGCGCAUGGAGUCGGUGAGAUUGCUGCUGGCACUCGCAGCAGCCAAGGAUUGGGGCAUCCAUCACCUCGACGUCAAGUCGGCCUUCCUGAACGGCGAGCUGGCGGAAGAGGUUUACGUCAAGCAGGCGCCAGGCUUUCAGGUGAAGGGGGAAGAGCGCAAGGUGCUUCGGCUGCGGAAGGCGCUGUAUGGUCUGCGGCAGGCCCCGCGGGCAUGGAAUGCCAAACUCGACGCCACCAUGGCGGAGCUCGGCUUCGCACGGUGCGCCACGGAGCAUGCCCUGUACACACGACGACGGGGGAAGGAGGAGCUCAUCGUCGGUGUGUAUGUGGACGAUCUAAUCGUCACUGGCGCGCGGGAGGAAGACAUCGCCAAAUUCAAAGCGGAAAUGGCGACCCGAUUCAAGAUGAGCGAUCUGGGCGCGCUCUCGUACUACCUCGGCAUCGAGGUGAAGCAGGAGAAGGACACGGUCAGGCUGGGGCAGCGCGCCUACGCGCUGAAGCUGCUGGAGCGGGCUGGAAUGGGCGACUGCAGGGCUGCAGCAACACCGAUGGAGGAGCGGAUCAAGCUCUCCAAACAAAGUGUGGCGAAGAAGGUUGAUGCCACACGAUACCGAAGCAUCGUUGGUGGGCUGCGCUGGCUCACUCACACCCGGCCGGACAUCGCGUUCGCGGUCGGGUAUGUGAGCAGAUUCAUGGAGGAUCCAAGGGAGGACCACUGGGCGGCGGUCAAGCGACUGCUGCGGUACAUCCAGGGGUCUUUGGACCUCGGUGUCGUCUUCCCCAAGCACGGCGAUCUUCGGCUGAAGGUGUUCAGCGAAGCGCCGCCCAGGGCAAAGGGCGGUGAGCCAGGACUCACCGUGUUCAGUGAUGCAGACAUGGCGGGUGAUGUGGAUGGGCGGAAAAGCACCUCCGGGGUGUUCGUCUUCCUAGGAGCAGCGCCGGUAGCCUGGCAAUCACUGAAGCAGAAGACAGUGGCACUGUCAACCUGCGAGGCAGAAUAUGUGGCUGCUGCUACGGCGGCAUGUCAGGCGGUCUGGUUGCGGCGGCUGCUGAAGGAGCUCACUGGGAAGGAGUCUCAGCCGCCGGCUUUGCUGGUGGACAAUCAGCCGGCCAUUGCUCUUGCCAAGAACCCGGUGCUCCAUGACCGGAGCAAACACAUCGACGUGAAGUUCCAUUUCCUCAGGGAUUGCGUUGAUGGAGGACAGAUCACCAUCGAGUUUGUCGACACCGGCAGGCAACUCGCUGACAUUCUCACCAAGUCCCUCGGACGCCUCAGGUUUGUUGAGCUGAGGAAGAUGAUUGGCAUGGAUGAGGUCAAGGCUUAGCAGCAGGAUUAGGGGAAGAACUGUAAGACAUAAUCUGCAGCUAAACCUUUCUUGUUCUGUUAAUGAUCAUAGGCAGGCAAUAGGCUAGCCCUUGAUCACAUAGGAGUAUGGCAAUAGGCCACUCUAGUACAGUAGUUGGUAGAACCAUACAUCAGCCAUACUUGGUAGGAGGAUGAUGUAUGCAGUGUACUAGGAGUAGAUGGGGCUGUACCCAGCCAUGCCUUGUGUACCUUAUAGUUGGUACAAGGCUUGUAUAUAUAUACCAUGUAUGCAAUGAAGCAAAGGCAGUUCAAGUGCCACUUAUUUCCUGGGUUCAGGUUUCAGCCAAGACUGAAACCGUGUGUGUGAGUGUGUGCCUGAGCUCGGCUCAUCUUCUACCUUGGGUUAGGGGAGAGGAAGAGGGAAGGUGAGCAGGGUCUGCUUACCUGGUGCCUGUGUGCAGGUGCUAACAUACUAAACACCACUAUUUGUUUUAGCCAUGAAAUAUCUUUGGCAGCAUUAAUCCUGGUCGAGGCAGAAAUUCAUACCUUAGUCUAAAAGACUAUAAUAUGUGCCUCUCCAUUAGGUUAUUUACAUGAUACUGAUUUAAUAAAUCAUUGAACAACUGAUCCUUAAAUACUGAAUGAAUAUGAUGUUAGUCACAACCGUAAGUAUGUUAAUUGAUAUGGUCAAUGUUAAGUAAUAAAUGUGGAGGCAUGCUCUCCUAGAGCCUGUACAUGUAUUUAAUUAUUUAUGUUCAUAUAAUUUUGCUUUGCUAAAUGUUUCCGUGCAUAAUUGUAAUUAAUUAAAAAUUUCAUGUUUUCUAUAAAAUCGCUAAAUGAAAUAGAUUUCGCUAUAUUCUGCUAUAGCUUUUGAAGGAGCCCACCGCUAAAUAUCUUAGCCCACGAUUUAAAACAUUGCAUUCAAUCAAUAUAGAUAUGGUUAAUUACAUUCACAUUCAAAAUAUAUUGAUUUCACUGUAAUUUAAGAAUUUUUGGCAAUGCUACUUGAAGAAAUAUAGUCAGAGGUGUGACAAUAUCCUAAAUGACCAAGUAAAUAGGAAGAGAGUUGUUAUAAAAGUAGCUCAUUAGGAGAUAGCUAGGCAAAGUCGGAUUGGAGGGAGACUAGAGUAUUGGGGGAUCUGGGAUUAAUUCUUGUUCAUUGCUUUCUUUCCUUGAUACAUCUCCCUUUAUGUAGAGAGGAUUAUUGGUCCCCUAGGAAGGCUCAAUCAAAUCCUAACAAAUCAUAUCCAGUCCUGUUUCUAAUUGACCAAAAUCUAAUCAUAUCUCCAAUUGAUCCAAUCCCUCUAAUUAAUAUUAUGGGCCCCUGGCCCCCUAGCUGAUGCCCCAUAACAAGGUUAUCAUGCAUGAAAAGGAAUUAUCAAAAUUGGUUUCACUAUUCCAUACCUUCAGAAAUUCAGCAACUUUAGCAGCCCACUGUUGUUGUUCAAAAGAACUUGAAUUUCCAUUCCAUAAAAACAUCGAGUUUUUAGUUUGCAAAACAAAACAAUCCGUGGAACUCAAGGAUGUUGGGACCUAGAAAGUCAAAUAACAAUUAGUUCAAGGGAGCAAAAGGUUGGACUCUUUUAAGUUAUUUAAAGUGCAGGCCAUAAUGAGAACAUAGUGAUUCCAUCCAGCAUUUGUUCCAUACUUCAUUUCCCCAUAGCUUAGGAUUUUGAGCAAACCCAUAGAUGCAUAAGACUUGAUAUGCUAUAAGAGCAAAAGUUCUUGAGCUCGAGACUUAGUAAAAUCAACCUAACUUAUAAAAUUGCUAUGGCCCAUUUUUAAUAUGCGCCAUAGGUAAUGGAUGAUAGGCAUGACAGAUAUUGCUUAGGUAUUAUUGCCUACUUUUUCUCAUUAACUUAAGAUGUUCAUGAUGCUUAUGUGAAUGGAAGUCAAUAUAUUUCUAAGAACAGGUAGAGGUAAGAAAUACCGCAUCAACUUGAAGUGUUUUAUUGUUAUGAACUGCUGUUCCAGAAAUUCGAAUGAGAGCAACGCCAUCAGCACAAUAUGUUUCAUCUUUCAGACCCUUCUCUUCUACAAAUUUCUUAUAACCAGAACUAGUACCACCCUGCAUGAUUUGACAAAUACAUUCUGGUAAUUUCUGGAGUAAUGUUACAAAACAUUUUUCAUUUCUAUCGAAUGCUCCAAUAUGAGUUCUUUGUAGACCAGCACACAUUUAUCAUUAACUCACUAUACAUGACAUAAUCACAGUGAGCAUCAUACCUUAAGAAUAACCAUUGGUUGGAAAAGAGCAACAAAUUGUGGUGGCUCUUUUCCUUGAUAAAUACGACCCUACAAUAACACAAAUAAAAUACAGAACUCAUCCAUAGGAAAUAUUUGAUGCAUAAUAAAAAAAAUUCAAAAUAUGAAUACAGUACCAGGACAGGUCUUCCUUUCAAAGAAUUCCAAGUUGUAUUAGCUAUUUGAAAAACCGCCUCUUGAUCUUCCUAUGUAAAAUAAACAAAGAGUAACUUCAUAGAUAUAUCACAGCACAGUGCAUGGGCACUGAGUCCACCAUGAACCCUUGUAUAUGUUAAGUACAUCAAGGCUCAUAUAGUCAUAUAUUAAUUAUAGGACACACAAAUGUGUAAGGACCAUCAUUAUUUUAAACAAACGUGUGCAAUAAUAGCUUCUAUUUUGAUGUGAGAAGAAUUCAUGACAAACAGCUUUACAGAUAAGCUUAAUAAGAAGGUUUCAGUGUCACAAUUUGACCAUGACAAGCAAAAUAAGAAAUAUGCAUUCCAAUAAUGGGGGUCCAUGGAAGAUGCAAAGCAAGAAAGUUCAGUGCACUACAUCUUAUAAGCAUGUACAUAUUUAAAUGACAAUUACCUGUACACUAUUUUUCCCAAUCCAAUAAGUUAGAUAGAACUCUUCUUUUUUGUCAGCAGAAUGAUAAGUGUAGAGAACAACAUAACAGUCUCCACUGUAGAAUUUUCCAAGUUCUUCCUUUGGAAGAGCAGUCUUCACACUGCCAUUAACACACCAAACCUGAAAUAUGCACAGCUUGCUUGUGAUUUCAUUUCUACACUGCAUUCACUAUUGUACUUGGUAGGAAAAUGUGAAUAAGUUCAGCGAAACCUCAAGCUUUCCACCGCCAUCUAGCAAAGGAGGAACUUCGUCAUUUACUGGUGCACUAGUUUUUGUGAUUCCUUUGACAUCGACACCUUUCUGCUUCAACAUUGCUGAUAAAACAUAUAGAUGUUAACAGUGAAUGACAAAAGGUCAUUUGUUAAAAUACCAAUAAAUAAGUAUUGUACCUGUAACUUUCACUCGGCCUUCCUCUGUGCUGGCACUCCCUGCUGUGGUACUUACUGGCCAUGACUCAAACUUAGACUUAAAUGUAUGAUUCUCAUAACCUUGAAUAACUUGAGUUAUUCUUGCUGUCUUUGGUCUAUUUUCUUUAAUAAUGAAUUUCUACAGGAGGUAAAUUUUAGAUAGGAUAUAUUUUGAACAAGGCAACAAACAAUAAAGUUGGGCUGUAGUUUUACCUCAACUGCCGCACUGGCAGCUUUCCUCUCCUCUACCUGUGUUACCCGACCAACCCACACAAAUAGCUCAGCCCCACAGUCAAGUAAAAAGCAUUUGGUGUUCUCCAGAACUGAUUUUGUAAGUGCAGUGUCUUCUAACUUCAGUUGACCGUUAGUGAUACUGCAAACAUAACAAUUAACAGCAUACAAUAAAACUACUCGAUUAUUAAAAAAUAAAGAAGAGCAGCUGAAGAUUAGUGAGGUGAACAAUAUAGCACACAUACACAGGCCAGUCACACCUGAAGAUAAAGUAAUAGGCUUUGUGAACCAAGCAGAGUCUCGAAGUAUGCUGCGCAAUGGUAAAGUUCUACGACCUAUAAGCACUCUCAAACCAACUAACUAAUACGUACUGAAUUGCCGAAAAGAAUUCAUUUGUAAUCAGGAAAGGAACUUCUGUAGAAGUGAGCUGUGAAUUCAGCAGAACAUAUUGGAUUGCUAAUUUUGAUUCUAGCAUUAAAAAAUGUGUUUAUCAGAAAGUUGCAAGUGGUGACUGUCACCCAUGCAUAACUUUUAAAAAAAUCAGAAAAAUAUAAAUGUGUGAAUGCUUGAAUAGGUAUGGUGAGCCCACGUAAAAACCAGGCCACUCAUAGGUGUUAAGAACAAGUGUCGAUAAUUAAAAUCAGAAGAUCAAAUAUAACUAACUGUACACUCAUAAAAAGGACAUACCUGAAAAGCUUUGGUGCUGUAGUUUCAAGAACAACGUCAUCAUCACUUAUUGUUUUUUUCCCUAUUGGCGCAAAACCUCCAAAAAGGACCCAGAAUUCUCCCGAAUCUGAUUCUGCUUGCAGUUUCCCAUCAUCUAUUAUUAAGGCAAAAAAAAAGAUAUAAGUGUGUGUGAACUUGCUGACUUUUUUACAUGUAUGUAUGAAAUGAAAUUUGUAUCAUUCUCAUCUCACCAACAAUUGCAACAGCACACACUCCAUCAUGGUAUUUCUCCUUUAAAUGUUGGAUCACUUCCAACGCCUUGGCUCUUUCUUGAAUGUUGGAGUUUGCGCCGUUGAAUUGGUAUAUUUUAUUUUCAGUAUCCAAGAUAAAGACAUCAUCAUGGUUCAAUGAUGAACGAGCAAAGGGAACCUGAGUAAAGAAGUCAUCAUUAGGAUAUUGACUUAAAUAGUUCAUGAAACAUAUACUGUAGGAAGCAAGGAGGUGGAACACCAAUUAAUGCACCUCUUUAACUCUGAUAGCUCUCUUCCCUUUGCAAAUAUAUAGCCGUACUUCAAACUUGUCCACCUCUGGCUUUUUAAACCCAGAAGCAAAACCACCCUCCAUGGGUAUGAUGCAGGGUUUAAAAUAGGAAAGGAAUUUAUCAGACUCGUAGCACUGUGGUUCCCUGUGCUGUACCGCACGACCCCCAAGCAUGCUGUCAAGUUCAACCGUCUUAAUCGCGGCAGUUCCAGCUUCAUCCUGCGUAAAAACAACAGCAAUUUCGAGAAGUGGGCAUAUGAAAUGUCAUUUGUAGCAUAGAGAAAUCUAAGGUGGUGGUACAGAAAUUAAAAUCUACCUGGCUAGAAUCUUUCCCGAUCCAGAAAUGGAUGUCAAAGAUAUAAGCACCUCCUUUACAGGUGGUCUAAAAAAAGGGGGCAGAUGCAUUACUAAAAAUACAAUUUCUGUAGGGAAAUAGAAUGGUGCCUCUGGAAAAAGGAAGGGUUAAAAGCAUUUACCUGCAGAACUAUAUACGAAUCUCCACAGUAGAAUUUGCCAUAAUCUGAUUUUGGCAAAGCGACUGGCUUGAAAUCCUCGAUCCUCCAUAUUUCUGUUCCUCUGUGUUUAAGUUAAGGGGCGCAUACCCAACAUAAAGAGAAUACAGAAGCAUUGCGUUGAAUGAAAAAUAGCUAAAACACGCCCAGUAAGGAUACGGUUUAUGGCCAGCUCCUUGAAAUGCGGGCUCGAGCACCACUUUUGCAUUCGACAUUGUGCAGGGAUGGAUAUAUGUUACUUGGACACUACAGAGAGGCUCCCACCACCCGAUGGACAACAGUCAAUAGAACACUAGAAACUCAUGUGCUGCAUGCAAGAGUGCACCUAGAAGAAAAUGUAAACCAUUAGAGACAAGAGAAACCACCAGAAGUUUCAGAUAUAAACAGAAUGCAUACAAAGUAAUGUUUGCAAAGAAUAGAUUUGCUCUCAGUUUUACGUUAUCACGGAAACCAAAACGCAUGCCUGGCUGGUCUUUUUUUCCCUAUAUUUUUAUCACACAUCACAUCCAAAUUCAUCCCCGAUCGAGCACUCACGGAUGGAGCGCUAACGAUGGAUCGAUCGAUCCAACAAGCGAACACCGACCGCAGACAGACAGCUUAACUGAAGGCCGAUCUGAUCGCAUCGCAGUCACGUACGCAUCCACGGCAAGGGCAGAUCAAUUCAACCCGCGGGAUCGUUAGAUCCUGCUCCCUUCAUCUUUAAUUAUAAGUCAUUUUAAAAAAUUUGGAGACUCAAAAUAUUUUAAGUUUAACUAAAAUUAUAAAAAAAAUUAUAAAAUUUAUAAGAUUAAGUAAAUAUACUAUGAAAAAUAUAGUUAGAAUAUUUAAUUUGUAUCAUGUUAUCAUAUAAAUUUGGUUUACUCUUUGAGAUUUUUAGAAUAACUGGGAUCGAAACAAGCCUUGUUUAGUUCCCAAAAAAUUUUGCAAAAUUUUUCAGAUUCCCCAUCACAUCGAAUCUUUAAACUCAUGCAUGGAGUAUUAAAUAUAAACAAAAAUAAAAACUAAUUAGACAGUUUGAUCGAAAUUGACGAGACGAAUUUUUUGAGUCUAAUUAAUUCAUAAAUACAAACGAAAGUGCUACAGUGUCGAUUUUGCAAAAAUUUUUGGAACUAAACAAGGCCCAAAGGGAGGGAGGAAAGGGAAAAAGGAAAUGCAGAACCGUGGGAUCAUAUGAGGAGGCCGUCGAUCGAGCGGGUACCUGCUAGACGUGUAACGCCGGUCGCCGAUCGAUCGAUGGAAGCGGAGCGGAGCGGGGGGUGUAGCCUCGAGCCAGAGAGGGGAGGAAGGUGGCAGGCGAGCGGCGACGGGAAGGGGACGAGACGACCGAUCGAUCCCAGUGUGUCUCCGAGGCGACGUAGGAAUGGGGCGGAUUCGAUGGGGGUGGUGGAAGUGGAAUGGAUGGAUGUUACUACUACGCGACGCCGCGGCUUUUGCGGUUGCCUGAUUUUAGAAAUGGACCCCCUAUUUAUACGGGCGCGCGCGCGGCGAUCUGCCUGCGCCCUAUACGUGCGGUGCGGCAGCGACGGGGGAGGGACGGAUGGUCGGUGGCUGCUAGGAAAAGGUGCGAUCGAGCUCGGAGUACGAGAGGGGACAACGGAGAACGGACGUCGUUGCUACUGGCUGCCUGCGGCGUUCGUCACCACGAGUGUCCGGCCAGGGCCGCGCUACUGCUACUGCUAGUGGUAGUGGCAUUAGCAUUGCUCGCCCGGCCAGCAGAGGUACGGUACGGCCGCCGGUGACUGACAAGAUUCGGUCUCGUAGCGAGCGCCGUAUGGUAGGUACGGUGGUGAGCUAGGCCGGCCAUCAGCAUCAGGGUCCAGCUGCGGUCCGCAUGAUGCGGCCGAUAAUUGCGAGCUUUCGGUCGAGAUGCAUGGGAAGCUGCAGUGAUCGUGGAUGUGAUGCACACAGCGCACACGCACUCAUCAUUUCGACAGCUACGGUAACAACGUACGGGUUCACGCACGGGGGGCGCCACCUGACCUGACGCUUCCCCACCACCGCCCAUCAGCCCAUCCAACUAGACUGUGAACAUGGGCUGUCCUACCCGGCCAGGCCCAAUCAGUGUACCAGGUAGGCUUGGGCUCUAAAUCAUAAACAAAUAGAAAAAAGAUUUGAUGUGACAGGAAAUUUUGAAAAGUUUUUUAUUUUUGGGGUGAACUAAGGUCUUAUUUAGAUGCGAAAAUAUUUUCGAUUUCGCUACUAUAGCACUUUCGUUUGUUUGUGGCAAAUAUUGUCUAAUCAUGGACUAACUAGGAUCAAAAGAUUCAUCUCGCGAUUUACAGUUAAACUGUGUAAUUAGUUUUUAUUUUUGUCUAUAUUUAAUGCUUCAUGCAUGUAUCGAAAGAUUAGGUGUGACAGAGAAUUUUAAAAACUUUUUAGUUUUUGAGGUGAACUAAAUAAGGCCUAAACAAGACCUAAUUUUGUAUAAUAAAAUGUAAAAUGAACCUCUUUAUUGUGUUCCUCUCCUCGGAAUAGUAAAAGAAUAGACAUAUAUGGAGUGUUUCAUUUGAAGUCCAGACGAAGGAGUUACGCUUUUCAAAAAAAGUUGCAACCGAAGUUGUGAUCCUUAUCGGACGUUACGAGAGUCUGAAGUUUCGACACACGUUAGAACUUUCGACGAACGUCAAGAAACCUGGGGAAAAAAACCCUGCUCAGGUGUCUAGGGUCGGAAAAACCUAAUAAAAAACUUUGUUUGGAAAUGAUCUUUUAGUGCUGCAUAUUUGAUUUUUCCCAAACUAAAUUAGGACUCGACAAAGGAAAACUAUCUAAUGCACAGAGCUAGCACGAUCGUUUCAGCAUUUCAACUGCUCCAAGCCUCCAACUCAUAAACACACUUCCAAGUACGAAACAGACUGAGGAAAUUCCAAAAUCGGUUGUUAAUUAACUCCUUGGCCGGCCUCAUCCAAAUGGAAGAAGGUUUAAAGUCCUGAUGCCCCCGAUAAUCUCAUCAACUGCGUUCGGCAGGCGGUCCAAAUCGCCGCCGCUCCGCUCCAUCAUCCACGCGCGAAUUAUCUAUCCCUUCCCGAUUAAUUAAUCUCCGUGCCGCGAUCGUCACGGAUUCCUUCUUCCUCGUUCCAAUUCCAACUGAGCCGGUCAGCAGCUGCAGCUGCAGAGUGAGAGUGAUCGGCUACUUGUACGCGUGCGCGAGCAUCACCGUGCAGGUAGCAACCGGGGUGGACUGAGCGCGGUCCCCAACACGGCAACACGGGCCACAAUUCAGCCAUGAGGCUCUCGCCGCCGCGGCGCCUCCUCCCCCUGGCCCCCUUCCUCCUGCUGCUGCUCACGCUCCUCUCGCCGCCUCGAGCGGCGGCAGCAGCGGGCGGCGGCCCAUCCGCGUGGGUGGCGCUCCGCGGGGCGGCGGGCAGCCGGAAGGCGUCUCCGGCGGAGCAGGAAGCGGCGGCCGCGGGGCUGCUCCGCCGGCUGCUCCCUUCCCACGCGGGCAGCUUCAGCUUCCAGAUCGACUCCAAGGUUUGAGCAUCCUAGUGCGGCUACUUCCUGAGUUCCUGGUUCCUCCCAGUCCCCGGUCCCCCGCUUGUUUCGGGGCAGCAUUGGUUGACUUCCCUGUGCCCGUUUUUCUGUGCUCGCUCCAGGGCGCCGUCUGCGGUCAAUCAAGCUGCUUCAGGAUAAGCAACGUCGUUGACGGCUCGGGCAAAGGUGGAGCGGAGAUUCUGUAUGUUCCUCUUUUUCCCUCGUAUACUUGCCAUGAUGCAUGAUGCCGUCAACUUUGGCCGCGUAGAUGAUCCAUCUGAGGUCUGAGGCUGUGCUUUGUGGCUUGCCUCACCACUGUAUGGUGGGUGCCCAGCUGGCAUCGAUUCAUGAGGUUUUGAUUUGCAUAAUAGACAAACAUGGUGAUGAAGUCGCUCAUUCCUGUUCUAAAUUUUGCUCUUUGUAUGAUCGCUCCUCAUUAAGUUGGCGCAUUAGUUUGCUUAUAUAAAAUCCAAAAAAUAGUCCAGCGGCUUGGGUUCCUUAAUUGAGCAUUGAGAAUGCAUGUAAUGCAAGAACUGCAAAAAUUGUACAUUUGUUAUGACUACAUCGUGAAGGUGAAUGCAAUCACCUCUUCAUGUUUAUGCUAUACAGGAUCCAGGGAACCACAGGUGUUGAGCUUGCGUCUGGCCUACAUUGGUAUUUGAAAUACUGGUGUGGUGCACAUAUCUCCUGGGACAGGACUGGGGGUGCCCAGCUGGCAUCGAUCCCUUCUCCUGGAUCUCUGCCACGGGUGCAGGGCAAGGGAGUCAAGAUUGAGCGUCCUGUUCUGUGGAAUUACUAUCAGAAUGUCGUCACUUCUAGCUGUGAGUCCUUUCUUGCCUCUAGUGCUUCUAUUGCAAAUGAAGAACUGAUGUUUCAGCAUUUGUUCUCCUACACCCUAAUCCUACAGAUUUCAUCUUAUCAUUUUUGUCUCUGUUGACCGGACCCUUCCAUACUUCUAACAUUUAUCCAACUGGAUUUAUUUAUAAUUUCUAAUUUCAAAAGAAGUGACUCUGAAGCUUCCCACUAUUUAAGUGGAUUCCAACAUUUUUUUCUCUGACAAAAUUCAUGUAGCGUUCUAUAGACUCCUAUGUGUGGUGGGACUGGAAAAGAUGGGAGAAAGAAAUUGACUGGAUGGCACUUCAAGGAAUUAACUUGCCUUUAGCAUUUACUGGACAGGAAUCUAUCUGGCAGAAGGUUUUUAAGGUAGUGUGACAGACACAUCUACUGCAUAUUCCUGUUCUUUGUUUUUUCUUGUCCCUACGUCUUUUUGAUCUGCCUUGUUUAGUUUCCAAAAAAAUUUGCAAAAUUUUUCAGAUUCCCCGUCACAUCGAAUCUUGCGGCACAUGCAUGGAGCAUUAAAUAUAGAUUAAAAAAAUAACUAAUUGCACAGUUUGUCUAUAAUUUGCGAGACAAAUCUUUUGAGCUUAGUUAGUCUAUGAUUGGACAAUAUUUGUCAAAUACAAACGAAAAUGCUGCAGUGUCUAUUUUGCUACAUGUUUUGAGUUUCUUUUCAACCUCCUGUUGCUAUGGGGGCCUUGUUAAUUAUUGCAUUUUAUUUCAGAGUUUUAAUGUUACCGACAGAGAUUUAGAUGAUUUUUUCGGUGGACCAGCUUUCCUGGCUUGGGCUAGAAUGGGGAACUUGCAUGGGUAAGUAAACAGUUCUUCUACGUGUUCAGGAAAAAAAACUAUAAAAUAAAUGAGGCUACAUUCUCUGAUAUAGGUGUUUGUUUAUUAGUUCAGAUAGCAUGAUGAAUAGCUUAUUCUUAAAAAAUAAGGAGCCAUAUUCUUGUUUAGAAGUGUCGAAGAUGUAUCUUUAGUAGGUGUUCACGGUUUGGGAUUUUGGUUCAGUGGAACUCUGCAUUUUGCUGCAUUGAAUACAGAUUAUUAAAAGUUUCUCUUCCUGCUUGUUUCUCUCUGCAUAUCAUUGUUCCCAUUUCAUGUGACCAAAGAUUCAUUCUAACUUAAUUAUAGCAUUGACCACAACAUUGCAGUUGUUCUAUACUUAACUAGUUAACUUUGUAUGAUAUUAAGACUUUUCGGAGAUGAUCAUUUGUACAUAUCUGACAUAUAAAAAGUAACGCAUAUAUAAUUCUUCAAUUUCUUUAGCUGGGGUGGACCACUGUCACAAAACUGGUUGGAUCAACAAUUGGCAUUGCAGAAGAAAGUACUAUCCCGGAUGAUUGAGCUUGGGAUGGUCCCUGGUACGUUUGUGUUUUAUUGUCCAAAAUUACUAUUCUUCAACCUUUAAGAUAUGCCAUUGCAUUUAUACCACCUUUCCAUCCUUUUUUGGCAAUGUAUUUCUUAUAUGAAGUCAAAAGAUCAAUGGACUUUUUACUAGCAAUAUUCUAUUACUACAGUGGGUUAAAUGCUGUUUCAAGUUAUACUUAUGACGCACUACUACUUUACAGUUCUUCCAUCGUUCUCAGGAAAUGUUCCAGCUGUUUUCGCAAAAUUAUUUCCAUCAGCCAACAUUACCCUGCUUGGUGAUUGGUAACAUACUUUCUUAUAUCGUUUGUACCAAUAUUUUCUGAAAAUUUAUGCUGGCUUAGGCAGUAGUUAUGGUGACCAAGAAGUCACCAAGUCCAAAUUUACUGGUGAUCAUAUUCAUAAUGCCUCUUGACAAGUAACUUCUGUAAAUUACUUGGACUGUAGGACAUCUGGAAGAGUGUAAUGGACAAGAAGGAUUCAGACUCACUUAGUUACAAACAUUUUAUAGUUGGGUUAACACUAUAUAGGGCUACUGGCACGGUUGCCAGCCAACAACUUAUUUGUAAGGGACAAUAUAUGCAUACAUGAUCUUAUAGCUUUACACGAUAUGUUUUUAUAUCCUCAGUUUUCAAGAAAAAGAAACUGCAGUUUUGACUCAACUUCUUCGCACUAGACUGUAGAACUAGAAGUCUUAAGUCAAAAUUUGCUACAGGACACGUAACCUGAUGCCGAGCUGCCUGCGGACACAAAAAAGUGCUACAUGCUGACAGUCACUCUGUCAAUGCGAGAAUUUGCUAGAAGACACCGUGUCCAUUAAAAUAAUCAUUUCCAACCUAGAGGAGACGGUGUCUUCCAGCAAAUUAUCACAUUGCCAGAGUGACUGACAGCAUUUAUCACUUUUUUUUAUGUCUGCAGGCUGCUUGACAUCAGUCUAUGUGUCCUGUAGCAAAUUUUUGCCAAGUCUUAAACGUAUCAAGUCUGUGUACUGCCAGUGCUUAUGUGCCUUAUUUCAACAUGAAAGUAUCAGUUGAUUAGCAUUUCAUGUUUUCAGUUAUAAAACUUCUUACUGAAAAUAUCUUAUGUUGUUUUGAUUUUCUACGUGAUAUUUUAUACUUCAGGAAUACAGUUGAUGCUAAUCCUAAGUGGUGCUGCACUUAUCUUCUUGAUCCUUCUGAUUCAUUGUUUAUAGAUGUGGGGCAGGCUUUUAUCAGGCAACAGAUAAAAGGUAUAUACCUGCCAUUUUUGUGUGCAAGAUAUGAUCAUAGGAAACUUGAAUUUGUUCUGAAGUUUCUGGAUCAAAUAAAUCAAUUAAUAAGAAUGCACUUUUGAUUUAUGUUUUUGUAUAAGGUUUCGUAUUCUUUCUUUUUUGAACUUUUCUGGAUGUUUGCAGAGUACGGCGAUGUAACCAACAUCUAUAACUGGUAAGGCCUACUAAUCUGCUUCUUUGAAAUGUUGCCUGAAUGCAUUCUGUGAUUGCUCUGUGUAUCCUUUGCAUGUUGGGUCACAACGCUUAGCUGUCAUAUGCAAGGAUCACAAUUGAUUGGUUCUGUUUCUAUAAGCCAUACCCUAGUUCAUCCUUGCCUAUAUAUGUGUAACCUUUCACCCUCCAUAAUCAAUCAAUCAAUUCCGUACCAUAUUCUUGCUUACAGAUACAUAUCGUCCUGUUUAAGGUAUUGAUAGUGGAUAGUUCAAAAUUCUUGAUUUAUUGGUCAUGCAUUAUGUCAUUCUGAUCAUGUCAUUGGCUAGUGGUUUAGCAUGCUUUUGAGCAUCCUGUGUAUAUUCUUGUGCUCGCUUGCUGUUUCUAGUUUCUACAUCAUGUACACAUUGCACAUUUUACAGUUUUGGUUGUUACUUUCAGUGACACGUUCAAUGAGAAUACCCCACCAACAGAUGAACCAGCAUAUAUUUCAUCACUUGGUUCUGCUAUCUAUGAAGCAAUGUCCCGAGGUAACAAGAAUGCAGUGUGGUUAAUGCAGGUGUGCUCACUCUUCUUUUACCUUUUAAAUGUAAAAACAUUCUGCAUUUAUCAUUUUCUGUUGUGAUAGCAACCAUAUAUCCUCUAGACGAUAGUAACUUGUCCAGUUAACAAGAUGGAGUGCAGAGUACAAUGUAAAGAAAUACACCAUACAAUCUAUUAUUUAUAGUGGUUCAUUCCAUGUUCUUUUUUUUAAAAAAAAAAGAAAGUUAUGUAUUAAAUCUUACUCUUUGGAUAGAGAAAAAUCUUGUGUUUUCUUUAUCAGACAUCAUUAGAUGAACACAUAAUUGGAAAUCUUUGAACUUUACUUUGUGCUUAUUGAUGCAGGGUUGGUUAUUCUACUCAGAUGCUGCAUUCUGGAAGGAGCCACAAAUGAAAGUAAGCUCAAGUCUUGUCUUCAAUGAGUUUCACUUUGAACAGCCAAAUAAAUGUGAUAACUCAUAGAAUGAAGGUUAAUGCAUAUGUUCUUUGUCCUUUUAACACCUAUUUACAAAUGGGUUAACCUGCCCAAUUUUCAGGCACUUCUUCACUCUGUUCCAAUUGGUAAGAUGAUAGUUCUCGAUUUAUUUGCUGAUGUCAAGCCCAUUUGGAAAAUGUCCUCUCAGUUCUACGGUGUACCUUACAUCUGGUAUGUCAUCUUUUAACAACCCCUCCCUCCCAUCUUGUAACUCCAAACCAUUAUUUUGUAUUCACAUUGUCAAUUUAAAAUAUGAAUAUAAUUCCUGAUUUUCAACCAUAUUUACUGAUUGAUUUACUCAAUCUAGGUGCAUGUUACACAACUUUGGUGGGAACAUUGAAAUGUAUGGCGUACUUGAUUCAAUUUCAUCUGGCCCCAUUGAUGCCCGUACAAGUUACAAUUCAACAAUGGUAAGUGCAAAUUUUGUCCUAUGGAGCAAACAUUUCAUUUUCAUGUGUGAGUUGAAAAUCUGUCAUCUGCUGUUUCAAUGUUGAAGUGAAUCAAUCCCUCCUUUCUUGCUGGAGUUCUGUGCUCCAGUGGUGGAGCUUUUUUUUUUUUGAAAACCACAGGAGAGCUGCGUUUCAUUGCAUUAUAGAGAAGAAAAAUAGGGUGGGUCCCCAACAAGAUCCUCACUCAUACGGGGACCAAAUAUGAGUGAGGCAAUUACACACACACCUUUACUGGGCUCAUAGAAAUCAGCUGAAGCUAGACCCUAACUAAGCAGCCCUAGUCACCCAACGCCAAACCAAGCUCAAGGAGCUUCUUUGCCCCAGCCAUGCACCAGAGACUAUGCUCAUUCUUUAGCUCACUCCAAAGCAUGCUCAGCGAAGGAGAAACCCCCUCAAAGACACAUGUGUUUCUAUGUUUCCAAAUAAUCCAGGCCCCUAAAAUAAUUAGAGAAUUCACUCCUCUCCUGUGUUCCUUGCUCACUCUGCUGAUCGUCUUGCGCCACCAUUCAGCAAAACUCCGCUCGUUUUGCCGGGGAGUUGAAUCAGCUAAGUUUAAUGGGGUGAGUAAUUUGCACCAUACUUGUCUUGCCAUCACACAAGAUGUUAGCAAAUGUUGUAUUGUCUCCUCUUCCUGAUCGCAUAGGGGGCAUUUAUCCGGAUGUGAAAGACCCCUCUUAGCAAGCCUAUCGGCUGUCCAACAUCUAUUACGGAUCGCCAGCCACAAGAACAUUUUGCAUUUGCUUGGAGCCCAAGACUUCCAUAGGCGGUGCCACGGCUCAAAAGUCGCUGCACCAUAGAAAAAAGCUUUAUAUGCAGAUUUGGAAGAGUAGCAGCCACUUGUAUCUAGCCUCCAUAUGUGGCGAUCCUCUUGGUCAGUCAGAGUGAUACUCAUGAGACAAUCACAAAGCUGUAGGAAUUCUCUCAUACCGAUCCAGGAUAGGCCGCCAUGAAUGUCUCGUGCCCAUUGCACGUUAGAGAGAGCUUCAGCCACAGUACGUCUUUUGCGAAUUCUUGGCGAGACACAAGCAAAAACAGUUGGUGCAAGAUUUUCAAUCGAGCACCCAUGCAGCCACCGAUCGGUCCAAAAGAGAGUAUUUUGUCCAUUCCCUAUCUCUGUCGUGACUGCAAUAGAGGACAAAGCUAUAGAAUUAGGAUGUGUUGGGAGUUCGAGAUCAGACCAUGGACGGUCAGCUUUAGUCUUUUUCAGCCACUGCCAUCUGACUUGCAAAGCCCAGGCCAUCACUUCUAAGUUAGGGAUGCCCAAUCCCCCAAGAUCCAACGGUCGCAUGACCUUCUCCCAAGCCACCAGACAGCAGCCUCCAUUUGCUUUUUCCUUUCCUUGCCACAGAAAUCCCCUUCUGAUCUUGUCCACUGCCUUGAUGAACCAUGACGGGAUGUUGAUAGCAAUUAGCAAAUGAAUAGGCAUGGCAGAGAGGACAAAUCGGACUAAUGUUGCACGUCUAGCCCUAUUCAUAAGGGCUGCCUUCCAGCAUGGAAGUUUGUCCGCAAUUUUUUCUAUCCAUGGCAUGAGAUCCCUCUUGCGAAGCUUCCUGUUUGAUAGUGGUAGGCCCAAAUACUUGCAAGGGAAUUCUGAAAUUGUACCCGGAAGAAUAUCUUGAAUUACUCCCAAAGACCCUUCUGUACAACUGAUGGGAAUGAUAUUGCUUUUCUGAAUAUUAGUUCGCAAUCCUGAAGCAUCUCCAAACACCUUGAGGAUAUCUCUGGUGAUCUGCAGCUCCCCUUCAAGUGGCUUAAUAAAUAAGGCAACAUCAUCAGCAUAUAGGGAAAGCCUUUGUCCUGUCACCCGUGGGGAUAAAGGUUGCAACAGCCCCUCAUUCGCUGCCUUCACAAACAGACUGUUAAGCACAUCCAUCACUAAAAUAAAGAGCAUCGGGGAUAAAGGGUCCCCUUGACGAAGGCCUCGUUGAUGUUGUAUGGGUUCUCCAGGUUCCCCGUUCAAUAAAAUUCGAGUUGAGGAUGAUGCCAGCAGAUUGGCCACCAAAUUGCGCCAAAUGCAUCCAAAGCCCAAGUGUUGUAGCACUUCUAAAACAGUGGUGGAGCUAAAGCCAGGCUAAAGGGGGCCAUGAGCCCAUGACCCCUCUUGAUUCUUUAAAUUUCUUAAGAAAACACCUUAUCCUAGGUAACAACAGAGCAUGGUUUACAUAGCUUGGCCUCCUGUACAUCUACCAUCAUGCUCCAUCGCUGCUGUGCUUGUUGUUCUUCUUGAUUGAUCGUUCCAUCUUUCAUGAUAUGCAUGUGUUUCAGAACUGAUAUAUUUUCAGUGCUGUAUCUAAUCUGACUAUUUAUGCAAUGUUUGACUCUUGCUCUUCUCUAGAUUGGUGUUGGCAUGUGCAUGGAGGGAAUAGAGCACAAUCCAGUUGUUUAUGAACUUAUGUCUGAAAUGGCAUUUCAUAAUAAGAAGGUUGAAGUUGAGGUAAAUAGUACAAAUGUAAACUUAGCCUUCGAAUUAUGAUUUACUGCUAUUCUUAUUUCUUCAUCUUGGAACUAUUACAGCUGUAUAGACUCUAUAGAGUAUGAGGUGCCAUUGUAGACAUAGUUUGCACUUUAUACAUAAUUAUAGGGUACAUUCUGUUUAUGCACCACUACAUAAAUUUUAUCAAUCUAGUCAAAAGAUAACUGCUUCUGAAAGUUCUUUCCCUUCAUGUGAUUUCAGUGAGAUCAGGAUUAAUGGAAGUUUUCUGUCUUGAGUUAAAUGUUGAACUGUGUGUCAAAGAAGGAUUGCCAAAAAUACCGUACUUUGUAAUUUGUGUAGUUUCUUGGUACAUAUGCUUUGUACGACCUUGUUUACAUGAGGUGAAUGAAGUACAAACUGUGCUACAGAUAGUAUUUGUCUCUUUCCUUCCGCAGCAGAUUUGCUAUGGCUAUUGUUUUAUAAUCGUCUAACAUCUUGACUGCAGGUUUUGCUUUGAUAGUCGAUUACCAUCUAACAUUUGUCCAUAACCUUCCAGGACUGGUUAAAAACAUACUCCUAUAGGAGAUAUGGUCGAGCGAAUGCUGAAAUAGAGAAAGCUUGGAGAUAUUUGUAUCAUACAAUAUACAAUUGCACCGAUGGAAUUGCGGUGUGAUUUCAAACGAGCUCCUCUGUUGCAACUAUCCAGAGCCUGUCCCGAGUAACAUAUCCUUAUAUUUUCGUUGCAGGAUCAUAAUAAAGACUACAUAGUUGAAUUUCCAGACAUAAGUCCCAGCUCAAUUAGUUCUCAGCUUUCUAAACGAAGGGGUAUGUCAAUUAUGAGAAACCAUAGGAGGUUUUUCUUAAGUGAGGUGUCUGGAAGCCUACCACAUCCGCACCUAUGGUAUUCUACGAAGGAGGCCAUCAAAGCCCUUGAACUAUUUCUUGAUGCAGGAAGCACAUUUUCAAAAAGUCUCACAUAUAGGUACAAUAUGCAACUUUCUUUUAAGUCUUGAGAUUGUCUGUUCUUAUUUUCAGCUAUUGCCAACUCUAUUCCUGUAGUUUACAGUUGUCAAUUGAUUUAAGUGCCAAAUCAGGGUACCAAAUGAACACUUUUUUCCUUUGUUUUCUGGUUUAAUGAGUAAAACUAAUUAUGCUGCUUGGGCAUGUUAUUGCUUUAACUGAUCCUUACUGCUGGGUGAUAACUUUUACCUCAGGUAUGACCUUGUCGACCUAACUAGGCAGUGCCUAUCCAAACUAGCAAAUGAAGUGUACCUUGAUGCGAUGAGUUCGUACCAAAAGAAAGAUUCAAAUGGCCUGAAUUCUCACACGAGGAAAUUUCUUGAGAUCAUCAUGGAUAUUGAUACACUACUAGCUGCUGAUGAUAACUUUCUGCUGGGCCCCUGGCUGGAAAGUGCAAAAAGCCUUGCUAUAACUGAAAAGGAACGCCAGCAGGUAUGUUACACAUGCAUUCUUCAUCUAAUAUCUGGAUCCUAUAUCAAUCCUGUUAUUGAGGACUGAAUUGAACCUUUUUACCAGUAUGAGUGGAACGCCAGAACACAGGUGACGAUGUGGUAUGACAACACAGAGACCGAGCAGAGUAAAUUGCAUGACUACGGUAAUGCCUAGUACAAUAGUUUGUUAGUUGAUAGCUACUAGCUGUAUGGUUCAGCUUUGUGUUACUAAUGUUCUUCUCCGUAAACACCAAAUUACCAGCCAAUAAGUUUUGGAGCGGGCUACUGAAGAGCUAUUACCUUCCAAGGGCGUCAAAAUACUUCGCCUACUUAACAAGGAGCCUGCAAGAGAACCAGAGCUUCCAGCUGGAGGAGUGGAGGAAGGAUUGGAUCUCAUAUUCCAACGAGUGGCAGUCCGGGAAGGAGGUGUAUGCCGUGAAGGCCACGGGUGAUGCUUUGGCCAUCGCCAGGUCACUGUACAGAAAAUACUUGAGUUCUUGAGCUAGUCGUCGCUGCCAGAGUGCCAGAGCCUUGGAAUAAUUGUUGCCGUGGGGUAAUUGUGCACGGAUGUUACAAAUGAUUGAUUGUGUAAUUGUGUUCUUCAGUAAGUUGCCUGUUAAAACAGAUGCCACGAAAGGCAGAUGCAUAUGUUAGCAAGUUGUAGGGUUGAUAUGUGAAAUAUUUGUCUUCCAUGAUCACGUGAUGUAGAGCGAAACCCUCAGCAUUGAUUUCUUGAGCUGUUGCUGCUGCGGUGCUGCCUCGGAGCUGAAGGCCAAGUAAAACAGUGUGCCUUUUGCAUUGCAGUUGGCAAAUUUUGAGACUUGCACUGCAGACUGCAGACUGCAGGCGUACUCCGCAGAGAGGUUUAGGAUGCAGAAACCGCUGAAAUAUGAACAUCGCUCACAAGGUUCUGGGACUCGGCUUUACUUUCUUUGAAACGUAUAGUUUUUUUUAAGGUCCCGUUUGGUCCUCUUGCUAAAUUUAGCCAACUAAAAUUAUUUUAGUUACUCUUGGAUGACUAAUAGAUCUAAAAUAUUUAAGCUCUUUUUUAGUCAGUGUUUUUAGAAUUUUAGCUGGUAAAGUGAUUAAAAUUUAGUUGGCUAAAAUUUAGCAAAGGGAACUAAAUAGACGCUUAAUGUAACUCAACUUUACUAGGGAAAAAAAGAUCAAAACUACUGUGAACUUUCUGCAAAUCAAGUAGCAAGAAUCACCAUGACUCAACAAUAAUACACAUCGCAGAUUCACGUACAGUUAAAGAUGAAUGAAGAAGCAACCUAAGAAGCAAAAAGUCUUGCUCUAUGAAUGGUAAAAACGAGCAGGAGAUCUGCCUCUUUUAAAUUGAGAACAUUAUUGAGCAAAAUAACAGCUGUCAACAGGAAUAUUUUGCUCAAAUUUGCUUCAAAUGCAGCAUACAAAUAAGAAAAAGAGAAACUUCCCUGAUGUAUUAAUGGAAGAAACGAGCGAGAAAUAUGCCCCUUCUAAUGUUGAGCAAAAAAAACAGCUGUAGGUAGGAUCAUUUUACUCAAAUUUCCUUCAAAUGCAGCACAGCAAAAAAAAACUUGUUGCAAAAAAAAAAAAGAGCCUGUCAGACAACCCAUGGGCCACCCCAGCUAGGCAGGACCCAACCAGGAACGAUCCUCUACAGCACCAGACCCAGCAUCAAGCUUAAUCCUGGCCGUUAAUCACGCUCUGGCCCACAGGUCAUGACUCAUCAACCAGGCUUAAGUGCUUGCCUCCUUAUUAGUCAAGGAUGCAGCGGUACGAUCCUAUAGAACAGAUCCUGUUCAAGUAAGGUCGUGCUGCAAGGCUCCAGAGCUGAGGUUUUAAGCUGGCUCUCACUCGCCUGAGCAAGCGAGGUGGUGCUAAUCGGUGGGACUGGGCGACUGGCCAGCAAUCCCACUCCCACCCAGCAUGUUGCGUACUGGGCCGCUCCAUUCUGGUAUAUGCUCCCCUAUGUGUGGGCUUCAGGUCGAGCCGGCCCAUCGAGGCUGCAUUAGCUUUACCUCUGUUGAUGAUGCUGAUUCCUCACCUAAGCUCAGCUGAUUCCUAGUAGGUGAUUAUAGUUGGCCCUCCACAGAGCUAAGCAUAAAAAUGUUACUACUAACCAUCACAAAUCGGUGUAAACACAACAGUAUGAAGUACGUCAUAAUGAGCUAAGCAGCAAUGGGCGAUGUUGUGCGAGUGCGUCGUCGUCUCUCAUCUAAAAUCGAUUGCCUUGUACUACACCGUCGACUGGCCUGGAGAGAUCGGCGUCCAGCAGGAGCAUAGCCAAGGCUGGCUCCAUUUCUGACGACCAUCGGCACCAUGGGCUCGGCAAGCUCCGAGCAGGAGCUGCCUAGCUAUUAGCAUCUCGACAACCGCGCGCGGGCGUGCCGGGCUUCUCGUCAGGCUUUUCUUGGACGCAGAGGAGGCCGACCACAAUUGAGUUCUUAAAGGCCUUGUUUAGUUGGUGAAAAUCUUUUAUUGUAAUAAUUUUAUUUGUAUUUGAUAAUUAUUAUCUAAUUAUAGACUAACUAUGUUUAAAAGAUUCGUCUUAUAAAUUACACAAACGGUAGAAUUAGUUAUUUUUUAUCUAUAUUUAAUGCUCUAUAUAUGUGUCCAA
rnacentral:lncRNA from 1 species